rnacentral:rRNA from 1 species
GAUGAACGCUGGCGGCGUGCCUAACACAUGCAAGUCGAACGGAAAGACGAUGAGCUUGUGCCUUUGACGUUUGCGGAGGGCGGGUGUGUAACGCGUGGAUCACCUACUUAUAUUUCUGGGAAAAUAACGGAAAGCCGGAUAAAAUACCAGAGAAUAUAUUGAACCGUGGGGUGCAGUGGAGAAUGUCGGCUUUUGUGUAUGUAAUAGAUGCUUCCGCGCUGGAUAGGCUGGUGGGUAAGGUAACGGCUUACCAAGGAAACGAAGCGUGACCGAGCGGAGGGGGUGAUCGGCCACACUGGAACUGAGACACGGUCCAGACUCCUACGGGAGGCAGCAGUAGGGAAUCUUACGCAAUGGGCGAAAGCCUGACGCAGCAACGCCGCGUGAGUGAUGAAGGUCUUCGGAUCGUAAAGCCCUGUUAUUGGGGAAGAACAGCUGUGGAAGUAAAUAUAGACGUCUUGACGGUACCUAAUCAAAAAGCAACGGCUAACUACGUG